CCCACCUGACCUGGCUGUUGGGUCUCUCUCUCACGGGGUCUGGGAGCAGAGAGCUGCUGCGGGCCGGGAUCCGCGGGUGUGGGACUUCCGGUGGAGUCUAGAGACUAACGUAGGAAGAUCAUCUGGCUUGCAGAAGAAAAGAACUUAUGACAGAAGUAUAUUAUGAUUGUACCCUACGAGGACCAACAUCGGCUGACUGAGACAAAAGCAGACUCUUAACAAAGAAUCAUUGAACAAAAGUCACAGACCCCUGUGGUUGAAUUAGGGAAAGGUGGGAAGAAGCUAAGGAGGAGAGUGACCCUACAGAAAGAGCAGCAGUCUCAACAAACCCAGACCCCUGAGAUCUCUCAGACACUGAACCACCAAUCAGACAACAUAAAGGAGCUGGUCCGAGGUUCCAGACACAUGUACAAACAGAAGACUGCCUGGUCUGGCCACAGUGGGAGAAGAAGAGCCUAAACCUCUAGAGACUUGAGGCCCGGGUGACUAGAGGAAUGGUGGAAUGGUAGACCAGGAGGGGAGCAACUACUAGACUGUAAAACAAUAAAGACAAUCCCUAAAGGCGUUUUGGCUGUUAUGGAUUAAAAACAAUUUCCACCAUUUUCAUAGGGAAGCAGAACAAGGACAUGAAUAUUUCAAUGUAUGAUUGAGGAGAAAGUUCAUUGUAUAUAUGAGGAAGAGCACAACCAGAGGCAUUUGGAAUUAUCCUGACUGAGAUGGGGCAGCAUACUGAACUGAGCCCAAGGAGGAGAAAGGAAGAGGAAGAGAGCAAGGGAAAAGGAGAAGAGUGAGGAAAGAUGAGAUGGGGAUGAGAGGCCAAGAUCUAUGGUGCCUAGAUUCAUGCACUUUCGACAAAUCAGCAAGUUGGGCAUGAGCCUUUACAUCAAGUUUGUGACCAUGUAAAGUGAAGCCAUGGUUAAAUAAUUCUACAGUGAACUCGAGGGAAUUUUAAGCCAGUGUGGACCUGAUAUUAAUUGCAAUCCCUUCCUGCUUAAUAUCUGGACAAACCCUCCAAUUGAUGUUGCCAUUUUGCAGAAGGCUAUG
ensembl:lncRNA